rnacentral:rRNA from 1 species
GACGAACGCUGGCGGCGUGCCUAAUACAUGCAAGUAGAACGCUGAAGAGAGGAGCUUACUCUUCUUGGAUGAGUUGCGAACGGGUGAGUAACGCGUAGGUAACCUGCCUUGUAGCGGGGGAUAACUAUUGGAAACGAUAGCUAAUACCGCAUAACAAUGGAUGACACAUGUCAUUUAUUUGAAAGGGGCAAUUGCUCCACUACAAGAUGGACCUGCGUUGUAUUAGCUAGUAGGUGAGGUAAUGGCUCACCUAGGCGACGAUACAUAGCCGACCUGAGAGGGUGAUCGGCCACACUGGGACUGAGACACGGCCCAGACUCCUACGGGAGGCAGCAGUAGGGAAGCUUCGGCAAUGGGGGCAACCCUGACCGAGCAACGCCGCGUGAGUGAAGAAGGUUUUCGGAUCGUAAAGCUCUGUUGUAAGUCAAGAACGAGUGUGAGAGUGGAAAGUUCACACUGUGACGGUAGCUUACCAGAAAGGGACGGCUAACUACGUG